AGAGCGAUGCUUAGAUAAGCAAGGAGGUUGGAGGGCAGAUUAGUAUACUAUUUUUCAUGGGUCGGUGUCGAUUACCAAUUUGGAGUUGCAGAAUGGGAGUUUGAUUGUGCAGAAGUGGAGAUUUGGGAGCUGGUUUGAUGGGUUGAUUAACGGUGAGGCUUACACUCGAAGAGCCUGAACCUGGCUCACUGUUGUCAAGCUAACACAUUCGGAUAUUCCCGAGGAAGACAGAUAUUGGAAUGCAACUGUGGUGGAGAAUACAGAGAGAGUUUGUCGGGAUCUUUUUUUCCAGAGGAUACGGGCAUGUUUUUGGUUUUGGA